rnacentral:rRNA from 1 species
AUUGAACGCUGCGGCAGGCUUAACACAUGCAAGUCGAGCGAGCUGCGGACGGGUGAGUAAUGCUUAGGAAUCUGCCUAUUAGUGGGGGACAACAUCUCGAAAUGGAUGCUAAUACCGCAUACUAAUCGAUGAGCAUAAGUAGGAUUAUCUAGUUGGUGGGGUAAAGGCCUACCAAGACGACGAUAUGUAGCGGGUCUGCGAGGAUGAUCCGCCAAAAUGGGAAUGAGACAAGGCCCCGACUCCGACGGGAGGCAGCAGUUGGGAAGUUUUGACAAUUGGGGGAAAGCCGAACCAGCCAUGCCGCGUGUGUGAAGAAGGCCUUAUGGUUGUAAAGCAUGUUUAGCGGGGAGGCGUUACUCGCAGAAUAAGCACCGGCUAACUCUGUGCCAGCAGCCGCGGUAAUAC